AGAAGAACAAUUUGUUGUCAUGUUUCCUAUUUUUUCACUUGAAUUAUUUGAGGAUAAAUAAUUGUCAUCUUAGUAAAUUGAUCACUUACAAAAUGUCAAUUUUCAAUUUAAAAAAGAUAAACCAUCUACUUUUAAAAUUGAAAAGGCGGUCAACAAUGGUAAAAUUGAAUAAACCAACUACAUUUGUACAUAAAAAUUGCAACUUAUAGUUUUAAUAUGUAUGUAAUUUCUUAAAUUGUUCAAAAUACAAAUAGUUAGAAAAUCUCACACACACACAUAUAUAUAUAUAUUAUAAAAUCCAUUCAAUUAAGAUUGCAAACGUCAUGUAGUGAUAUAUUUGCCUUUUUAAUUAGUAAAUGUUAAAAUAACUCACAUUUCAAAUUUGUAUUGAUUUCUAUUGGAUUUAUUUAGUAACAAACAACUCUCUCUAAAGAAUUUGUAAGCUAAUUUAUUUAAAUAAAUUUACUAAUACAAAUAUAAAACAUAAAAUCAAGAAAAUAAACAAAAUAAUUAAAAUGAUUUGAGGGAUAUUUUUGUCUUUUACAUAGACUUAUCCCAUAGUAUUAUAUCCUAUGUAUUACUAAUACCUCCAAAUGGAAGGUAUUAGUAAUACAUCCUAUAAUACCAUGUAGGAUGUAGGCUCCAAUUCCUACCAAACAUAGUACUAAAUAAUACCAUACAUGAUACAUGGACUAUUUCUUUUAAUGCGGUCUACCAAACGACCCCUAAAAGUCAUAAGUUGGUUGUACCCAACUUUUAGCCUUUUAACUUAAUUUUGUACUUCUUUGGCCUAAAAGUAAGUAAGUGCUUUAAAACACUUUUUUAUCUUUCCUAAACACCACAAAAAAUAGAAAAAGAGCUUUAAUGCCAAAAACACUUGAAAUAAGCUAUAAGCCAAUCCAGACACCCUCUUGGACAUAUUUUGACUUAUAAGCACUUUGAUCUUUACAAAAUGCAUACAUGAGCCGUAAAGUGCUUAUCAGCAAAACAAUACUUGA
rnacentral:lncRNA from 1 species